AAUGUUUGAGGAAUUGAUCACAGCUCCCUUCCUGCUUGCGGCUCUUGCUGUGGUGGCUAAUUGCGGCAAAUUUGUUGAGCACGCAUUGCUGUAUCUGAUUUUUUUUUUAAAUUUAUUUAAGAAUUCUAUAAGAUGUAUUUAAAAAAGGAUGUCAAUUAUCAAUUGAUUGCCUGUAAAACAUACAACUUUAACACCUAUAUAAACCCUUUUAUUUUAAA